rnacentral:rRNA from 1 species
CAGUGGGGAAUAUUGCACAAUGGGGGAAACCCUGAUGCAGCCAUGCCGCGUGUGUGAAGAAGGCCUUCGGGGUUGUAAAGCACUUUCAGUAGGGAGGAAGGUAGUGUAGUUAACACCUGCAUUAUUUGACGUUACCUACAGAAGAAGCACCGGCUAACUCCGUGCCAGCAGCCGCGGUAAUACGGAGGGUGCGAGCGUUAAUCGGAAUUACUGGGCGUAAAGCGCAUGCAGGCGGCCUGUUAAGUCAGAUGUGAAAGCCCGGGGCUUAACCUCGGAAUUGCAUUUGAAACUAGGCAGGCUAGAGUCUUGUAGAGGGGGGUAGGAAUUUCAGGUGUAGCGGUGAAAUAGCGUAGAGAUCUGAAGGAAUACCAGUGGCGAAGGCGGCCCCCUGGACAAAGACUGACGCUCAGAUGCGAAAGCGUGGGGAGCAAACAGGAUUAGAUACCCUGGUAG